rnacentral:rRNA from 1 species
UUGGGCGUAAAGCGCGCNCAGGCGGAUUGGUCAGUCUGUCUUAAAAGUUCGGGGCUUAACCCCGUGAUGGGAUGGAAACUGCCANUCUAGAGUAUCGGAGAGGAAAGUGGAAUUCCUAGUGUAGCGGUGAAAUGCGUAGAUAUUAGGAAGAACACCAGUGGCGAAGGCGACUUUCUGGACGAAAACUGACGCUGAGGCGCGAAAGCCAGGGGAGCGAACGGGAUUAGAUACCCCGGUAGUCCUGNCCGUAAACGAUGGGUACUAGGUGUAGGAGGUAUCGACCCNUUCUGUGCCGGAGUUAACGCAAUAAGUACCCCGCCUGGGGAGUACGACCGCAAGGUUGAAACUCAAAGGAAUUGACGGGGGCCCGCACAAGCGGUGGAGUAUGUGGUUUAAUUCGACGCAACGCGAAGAACCUUACCAGGUCUUGACAUUGAUGGACAGAACUAGAGAUAGUUCCUCUUCUUCGGAAGCCAGAAAACAGGUGGUGCACGGUUGUCGUCAGCUCGUGUCGUGAGAUGUUGGGUUAAGUCCCGCAACGAGCGCAACCCCUAUCUUAUGUUGCCAGCACUCCGGGUGGGAACUCAUGAGAGACUGCCGCAGACAAUGCGGAGGAAGGCGGGGAUGACGUCAAAUCAUCAUGCCCCUUAUGACCUGGGCUACACACGUACUACAAUGGGAGUUAAUAGACGGAAGCGAAACCGCGAGGUGGAGCAAACCCGAGAAACACUCUCUCAGUUCGGAUCGUAGGCUGCAACUC